CAGGGCACCUAAGCAUGCGGCAAGAAGACAAUCAUCUGAAAGACAGGAAAAGGGCCCUUACCAAGUAUUGAAAUGGCCGGCACCUAGAUCUUGGACUUCUCAACGUUCCAGAACUGAAUCUUUUGAGACUGGGGCUACAAUCAUCACCAGGAUGAAGAUGAAGAAACAAAAGCUCAGAGAUAUUUUGUAUCAAUUCAAAAGUCAGUGUGGUCUGCAGUUUUUGUGUUGUUUUCGUGAAGAUUUCUUAUCACUGUUAUCCUGAUUAUGCCAAAAUUAUCUGGAAUCAUUCC
rnacentral:lncRNA from 10 species